UAAAAAAAGGUAAGCUACUAAGAGCGAAUGGUGGAUGCCUUGACUGGUAAAGGCGAUGAAGGACGUACUAGACUGCGAUAAGCUACGGGGAGCUGUCAAGAAGCUUUGAUCCGUAGAUUUCCGAAUGGGGCAACCCAAUGUAUAGAGAUAUACAUUACCUAUAUAGGAGCGAACGAGGGGAAUUGAAACAUCUUAGUACCCUCAGGAAAAGAAAUCAAUAGAGAUUGCGUCAGUAGCGGCGAGCGAAAGCGCAAGAGGGCAAACCCAGUGCUUGCACUGGGGGUUGUAGGACUGCAAUGUGCAAGAGGUAAGUUUAGCAGAACAUUCUGGAAAGUAUAACCAUAGAGGGUGAUAGUCCCGUAUGCGAAAAACAAACCUUAGCUAGCAGUAUCCUGAGUAGGGCGGGACACGAGGAAUCCUGUCUGAAUCCGGGUCGACCACGAUCCAACCCUAAAUACUAAUACCAGAUCGAUAGUGCACAAGUACCGUGAGGGAAAGGUGAAAAGAACUGAGGUGAUCAGAGUGAAAUAGAACCUGAAACCAUUUGCUUACAAUCAUUCAGAGCCCUAUGUAGCAAUACAGGGUGAUGGACUGCCUUUUGCAUAAUGAGCCUGCGAGUUGUGGUGUCUGGCAAGGUUAAGCAAACGCGAAGCCGUAGCGAAAGCGAGUCUGAAUAGGGCGCUUAGUCAGAUGCUGCAGACCCGAAACGAAGUGAUCUAUCCAUGAGCAAGUUGAAGCUAGUGUAAGAACUAGUGGAGGACUGAACCCAUAGGCGUUGAAAAGCCCCGGGAUGACUUGUGGAUAGGGGUGAAAGGCCAAUCAAACUUCGUGAUAGCUGGUUCUCUCCGAAAUAUAUUUAGGUAUAGCGUUGUGUCGUAAUAUAAGGGGGUAGAGCACUGAAUGGGCUAGGGCAUACACCAAUGUACCAAACCCUAUCAAACUCCGAAUACCUUAUAUGUAAUCACAGCAGUCAGGCGGCGAGUGAUAAAAUCCGUCGUCAAGAGGGAAACAACCCAGACUACCAGCUAAGGUCCCUAAAUCUUACUUAAGUGGAAAACGAUGUGAAGUUACUUAAACAACCAGGAGGUUGGCUUAGAAGCAGCCAUCCUUUAAAGAAAGCGUAAUAGCUCACUGGUCUAGUGAUUUUGCGCGGAAAAUAUAACGGGGCUAAAGU
rnacentral:rRNA from 1 species